CUUUUUAUAUAUUCUUUUUCCAUUUUCUUUUCUUAACUGGUGGCAGGCAUGUUUGGUUCUCUUUUAACUCUUUUAUUAUUUUCUUUUACUAACAAAUCUUCAGUUUAUUGGUUUAAGGUUCUGACACUAGGCUAUGAGUGAGUGAGUGCAAUUCUGGUUCAAAUGAAAUUGGAGAUGCUUCUUAAGUAUAUGUAGUAAUUUCUAAAUUUGGAGAAGCUUUUUUCGGUCAUGCUUUCUUGAAAACUUAAUGAAAUUGACUACCACAUAUUUUCAGGCUUUGCUAUUUAGCUGCUAUAGUUCAAAACAAGAUAGUCAAGUUAUACCUUAUGCUCUUUGUAGUUCAGUCCAACCAGUGAUCAAUGCUCUAUAUUUUUUUUAAGGUGCAGCCUGUUGGCAUAAUCCUUUUUGUUGCAAUCAUGACUACACUAGGCAUGAUUCUAUAGCUUGAUUUCUUAUAAGUUUUUCACCAUGUCAUUUUAACUACUGAUAGCAAAACAAUUUUCUUGCAAUUUUAGAUACAAUGAUUUUGAAAUUGUUUUAUUUUAUUAUUUUUUUCUACUUUUGAAAUGGCAUGUUGCUUGCAAAAACUUAGGAGCGACAGACUUUUCUAGUUUAAUCAAUGGCGGUCCCCUAUUUUUUAGAUUGUGACAUUUAAAUGAUGAGUAUUUCCUUCUGUUAUGGUGUAUUUAGUAUUUCCAUCUGUUUUUUGUUAAUUUUGUUUGCUUGUAGGGUUUGCUUUUGUUUACAGGUUGCCUGCAGCUACAUUUUGAUCUCUGUUUCAGGCUCCUGUUAGUGGUAUUUUUUAUGCUCUGCAACUAGUUUUAUUUUUUGUUUUGUUUUAUGUUUUUAUGCUCUACAUUUUGAUCACAUGCUUUUAACCUUUGAAUAAUGGCACUACUAAAUUUCUUUUUAUUUAAGUCUUUUAACUCUAAGGCUAAAAUGGUAGCUACAAAGGGGAUACCUCCCAAAGACUAGGAGCCUAAGACAAUUGGCAUCUAAUUAUGUAUCUGAGCUCUAUUUAUAUGAUCUUGUUUACUUUCUGACCUUAAAUUCAACCUAAUUGUUUCUAGAUUUUAAUCUACAUGCUCCUUUCAUUAUUUACCCCUUUUCAUGUGUUUUGCAGAAGGAGAAAUUGAUUAUGUGAGGGUUUUGAAUGGAGCCCUUCCAAAUGAUAUGGGAGUUUUAGGCUGGUGUUCUAUUCCAAUUGAUUUCAGUGCAAGGUUUAGCUAUCUGAGCAGGGAGUACAAAUAUUUCUUUUGGGAAGACAAUCUAAAUCUCAAGGCAAUGGAAAGCUCUGGUGAGAUAUUUAUAGGUGAACAUGACUUCCGAAAUUUCUGUAAGAUGGAUGCACUAA